AAGGGGAGCACCAGAUUCUGGGCUGUGUCCCCUGGCGCCCUGGGCUCCAGGGCCUGCACCGCUGGAAUCGCGCUCCCAGGGCCACGCAGCCCCCU
rnacentral:pre_miRNA from 1 species